rnacentral:rRNA from 2 species
CUGUCAGACGACGCGGGGUGUGCUAUACAUGCAAGUCGAGCGGACAGAUGGGAGCUGCUCCUGAUGUAGCGGCGGACGGGUGAGUAACACGUGGGUAACUGCCUGUAAGACUGGGAUAACUCCGGGAAACCGGGGCUAAUACCGGAUGCUUGUUUGAACCGCAUGGUUCAAACAUAAAAGGUGGCUUCGGCUACCACUUACAGAUGGACCCGCGGCGCAUAGCUAGUUGGUGAGGUAAUGGCUCACCAAGGCAACGAUGCGUAGCCGACCUGAGAGGGUGAUCGGCCACACUGGGACUGAGACACGGCCCAGACUCCUACGGGAGGCAGCAGUAGGGAAUCUUCCGCAAUGGACGAAAGUCUGACGGAGCAACGCCGCGUGAGUGAUGAAGGUUUUCGGAUCGUAAAGCUCUGUUGUUAGGGAAGAACAAGUACCGUUCGAAUAGGGCGGUACCUUGACGGUACCUAACCAGAAAGCCACGGCUAACUACGUGCCAGCAGCCGCGGUAAUACGUAGGUGGCAAGCGUUGUCCGGAAUUAUUGGGCGUAAAGGGCUCGCAGGCGGUUUCUUAAGUCUGAUGUGAAAGCCCCCGGCUCAACCGGGGAGGGUCAUUGGAAACUGGGGAACUUGAGUGCAGAAGAGGAGAGUGGAAUUCCACGUGUAGCGGUGAAAUGCGUAGAGAUGUGGAGGAACACCAGUGGCGAAGGCGACUCUCUGGUCUGUAACUGACGCUGAGGAGCGAAAGCGUGGGGAGCGAACAGGAUUAGAUACCCUGGUAGUCCACGCCGUAAACGAUGAGUGCUAAGUGUUAGGGGGUUUCCGCCCCUUAGUGCUGCAGCUAACGCAUUAAGCACUCCGCCUGGGGAGUACGGUCGCAAGACUGAAACUCAAAGGAAUUGACGGGGGCCCGCACAAGCGGUGGAGCAUGUGGUUUAAUUCGAAGCAACGCGAAGAACCUUACCAGGUCUUGACAUCCUCUGACAAUCCUAGAGAUAGGACGUCCCCUUCGGGGGCAGAGUGACAGGUGG